AGUUAACGCGCGCCAGGAGCGGAAGCGGAAGCGGCUAGUCUCCAUGGCGGUGGCGGCGGCAGGGGCUGCAGGACCCGUGUUCUGGAGGCGACUGCUGGGCCUCCUGCCUGGCCGCCCCGGGCUGGCCGCGCUCCUGGGACGCCUGUCCGACCGCCUCGGCAGGAACCGGGACCGCCGGCGCAGGAGGUCACCAUGGCUGUUACUGGCUCCCUUGCUGUCCCCAGCUGUUCCCCAGGUCACCUCCCCACCAUGCUGCCUGUGUCCAGAAGGCGUGCACCGGUUCCAGUGGAUCAGAAACUUGGUUCCAGAAUUUGGAGUCUCCAGUUCUCAUGUCAGGGUGCUUUCUUCCCCGGCAGAGUUUUUUGAGCUCAUGAAGGGGCAGAUAAGAGUGGCCAAGAGGCGAGUCGUGAUGGCAUCCCUCUACCUGGGGACAGGUCCUUUGGAACAGGAGCUGGUGGACUGCCUGGAAAGUACUCUAGAAAAGUCACUCCAAGCAAAGUUUCCUUCAGAUCUCAAGGUCUCCAUUCUUUUAGACUUCACACGGGGCUCACGAGGCCGGAAGAACUCACGCACGAUGCUGCUCCCACUUCUGCAGAGGUUCCCAGAGCAGGUCCGAGUCUCCCUCUUUCACACACCGCACCUCCGCGGCCUGCUCCGGCUCCUCAUCCCUGAGCGCUUCAACGAGACCAUCGGCCUCCAGCACAUUAAGGUGUACCUCUUCGACAACAGCGUCAUCUUGAGCGGUGCAAACCUGAGUGACUCCUACUUCACCAACCGCCAGGACCGCUACGUGUUCUUGCAGGACUGUGCGGAGAUUGCCGACUUCUUCACCGAGCUGGUGGACGCGGUGGGGGAUGUGUCCCUGCAGCUGCAGGGCGACGACACGGUGCAGGUGCUCGAUGGGAUGGUGCACCCUUACAAAGGUGACCGGGCGGAGUACUGUAAGGCAGCCAAUAAAAGGGUCAUGGAUGUGAUCAACUCAGCCAGGACCCGCCAGCAGAUGCUGCAUGCCCAGACCUUCCACAGCAACUCCCUUUUGACCCAGGAAGACGCAGCAGCUGCUGGGGACCGCAGACCAGCCCCUGACACCUGGAUUUAUCCACUGAUUCAGAUGAAGCCCUUUGAGAUUCAAAUCGAUGAGAUUGUCACUGAGACCCUGUUGACAGAGGCCGAGUGCGGUGCAAAGGUCUACCUCACCACUGGCUACUUCAACCUGACCCAGGCGUACAUGGAUCUGGUCCUGGGCACUCGGGCGGAGUACCAGAUCCUGCUGGCCUCACCAGAGGUGAAUGGCUUCUUCGGGGCCAAGGGGGUGGCCGGCGCCAUCCCGGCCGCCUAUGUGCACAUCGAGCGGCAGUUCUACAGCGAAGUGUGCAGCCUGGGUCAGCAGGAGCGGGUCCAGCUGCAGGAGUACUGGCGGAGGGGCUGGACAUUCCAUGCCAAAGGCCUCUGGCUGUACCUGGCAGGGAGCAGCCUGCCCUGUCUCACGCUGAUUGGCUCUCCUAAUUUUGGGUACAGGUCAGUUCACCGGGACCUGGAGGCCCAGAUUGCGAUCGUGACAGAGAACCAGGCCCUGCAGCAGCAGCUUCACCAGGAGCAAGAGCAGCUCUACCUGAGGUCCGGUGCGGUGUCAUCUGCCACCUUUGAGCAGCCGAGUCGGCAGGUGAAGUUGUGGGUGAAGAUGGUAACUCCACUGAUCAAGAACUUCUUCUGAGGACAGACAGAGAUGCGCCCUUCUAGUCUCUGGAGGUUGAGUAACAGGACCCGCUCUGCCCACCCAGGAGGGGCCUGCUGCUUCACCAGGGCCACCGGUGGGGUCCCACAGUCACCUGAGGAACCCCAGACUGUCUUGACGCCUGGAGGUCUGGGCAGGGGUUGGCUGCCAUUAAAGGAAUGGCCUUGAUGAAGAUGACAGGCAUGGCCGGCGUCAGCUCCUUCAGCCGUGCUUCGGCGAUGACUCCGGUCUGGGUGUCCCAGCGAGCCCCUGCGGGGACAGCGUGGCUGAGGGUUGGGAGGUGACUGGGUCCUGUCUGGAACACUGCCAGUAAGUGAGGCGGGGGCUAGUCCUUGAGUUCCCUGCUCUUUGCAGAGAUGGGCUCCACCCAGAAAGGCAUCAGGCCACGUGUCAUGGCUGUAAGCAGAGGCCCUCGGAGGUGACGGUGUGCAUGUCAUAACUACCCCGUGUCUCGCUGUGCACGAACAGCUCAGCUAAAGCCCUUGGGUUCCACCUGUUUUAAGAGAGCCUCAUCUGUCAGCUUAAUAUCAGUGGCAGGAAGUCAUGACUCCAGCUAAAAAUUAAAGUUCCCUGCCUCUUCAUGUGUCCUGUCUGCCCUGUGUGUGCAUAGCGUCAUUAUGUAUCUAUGCAUAUAAACACGAUUUGCUUUUAACUGGACUGUUAUUUCUACUCGCCCUAUUUAAUGAUGCUUCUCUUUCCCGUCUGAAAUUUCAAAAUAAACAUGGAGAGCGGC